CUUGACCGACCCCAGCCACAGCGGCCGAUCCGCCGCCCGAUCCUGCCCGUAGGUGGCGAGCAGGGCGCGCGCCUC
rnacentral:antisense_RNA from 1 species